rnacentral:rRNA from 1 species
UACGAAGGGGGCUAGCGUUGUUCGGAAUUACUGGGCGUAAAGCGCACGUAGGCGGGUUGUUAAGUCAGGGGUGAAAUCCCGGAGCUUAACUUGGGAACUGCCAUUGAUACUAUUGAUCUUGAAUACCGUGGAGGUCAGCGGAAUAUGUCAUGUAGCGGUGAAAUGCUUAGAUAUGACAUAGAACGCCAAUUGCGAAGGCAGCUGGCUACGCGAAUAUUGACACUGAUGCACGAAAGCGUGGGGAUCAAACAGG